rnacentral:tRNA from 1 species
GGAAGUGCCAAGGCGCCUGGUGGGCCUCCUGGUCUUCAAAACCAGUGCACCGCUGACGAGGUGGUGGGUGGGUUCGAUUCCCAUGCACUUCCGCCA